AGUGAACGCUGGCGGUAGGCCUAACACAUGCAAGUCGAACGGCAGCACAGUAAGAGCUUGCUCUUACGGGUGGCGAGUGGCGGACGGGUGAGGAAUACAUCGGAAUCUACUUUUUCGUGGGGGAUAACGUAGGGAAACUUACGCUAAUACCGCAUACGACCUACGGGUGAAAGCAGGGGAUCUUCGGACCUUGCGCGAUUGAAUGAGCCGAUGUCGGAUUAGCUAGUUGGCGGGGUAAAGGCCCACCAAGGCGACGAUACGUAGCUGGUCUGAGAGGAUGAUCAGCCACACUGGAACUGAGACACGGUCCAGACUCCUACGGGAGGCAGCAGUGGGGAAUAUUGCACAAUGGGCGCAAGCCUGAUCCAGCCAUACCGCGUGGGUGAAGAAGGUCUUCGGGUUGUAAAGCCCUUUUGUUGGGAAAGAAAAGCAGCAUGUUAAUACCCCGCUGUUCUGACGGUACCCAAAGAAUAAGCACCGGCUAACUUCGUG
rnacentral:rRNA from 1 species